CGGUAAAGGAUGGACUCGCGCCUGAUUAGCUAGUUGGUGAGGUAACGGCUCACCAAGACGAUGAUGCGUAGCGGCCUUGAGAGGGUGACCGCCCACAUUGGGACUGAGACACGGCCCAGACUCNUACGAGAGGCAGCAGUAGGGAUUUUCGGCAAUGGGGGCAACCCUGACCGAGCGACGCCGCGUGAGUGAAGAAGGCCUUCGGGUUGUAAAGCUCUGUUGUAAGGGAAGAACCGUAGUGAUAGGGAAUGAUCACUACCUGACGGUACCUUACCAGAAAGCCACGGCUAACUACGUGCCAGCAGCCGCGGUAAUACGUAGGUGGCAAGCGUUAUCCGGAAUUAUUGGGCGUAAAGGGAGCGCAGGCGGUUUAUUAAGUCUGAUGUUAAAACACGGAGCUCAACUUCGUGAUGCAUUAGAAACUGGUAGACUAGAGUGCAGGAGAGGUGAGUGGAAUUCCAUGUGUAGCGGUAAAAUGCGUAGAUAUAUGGAGGAACACCAGUGGCGAAGGCGGCUCACUGGCCUGUAACUGACGCUGAGGCUCGAAAGCGUGGGGAGCAAAUAGGAUUAGAUACCCUAGUAGUCCACGCCGUAAACGAUGAAUACUAGGUGUCGGGGAGUAUAGACUCUUCGGUGCCGCAGCCAACGCAAUA
rnacentral:rRNA from 1 species